GUGGGGAAUAUUGCGCAAUGGGCGAAAGCCUGACGCAGCAACGCCGCGUGAGGGAUGACGGCCUUCGGGUUGUAAACCUCUUUCAGCAGGGAAGAAGCGAAAGUGACGGUACCUGCAGAAGAAGCACCGGCUAACUACGUGCCAGCAGCCGCGGUAAUACGUAGGGUGCAAGCGUUGUCCGGAUUUAUUGGGCGUAAAGAGCUCGUAGGCGGUUAGUCACGUCGGAUGUGAAAACCCGGAGCUUAACUCCGGGCCUGCAUUCGAUACGGGCUGACUAGAGUGUUGUAGGGGAGACUGGGACUCCUGGUGUAGCGGUGAAAUGCGCAGAUAUCAGGAAGAACACCGGUGGCGAAGGCGGGUCUCUGGGCAACUACUGACGCUGAGGAGCGAAAGCGUGGGGAGCAAACAGGAUUAGAAACCCGGGUAGUCC
rnacentral:rRNA from 1 species